rnacentral:rRNA from 1 species
UGCUUGGGAAUAUGCCUUUAGGUGGGGGACAACAGUUGGAAACGACUGCUAAUACCGCAUAAUGUCUACGGACCAAAGGAGGGGAUCUUCGGACCUUUCGCCUUUAGAUUAGCCCAAGUGAGAUUAGCUAGUAGGUAAGGUAAUGGCUUACCUAGGCGACGAUCUCUAGCUGGUUUGAGAGGAUGAUCAGCAACACUGGGACUGAGACACGGCCCAGACUCCUACGGGAGGCAGCAGUGGGGAAUCUUAGACAAUGGGCGCAAGCCUGAUCUAGCCAUGCCGCGUGAGUGAUGAAGGCCC